AAUAGAUAUAAGUUAAUGGUAAACUGAAUGUCUUCCAAACAUUGAAUGUGAGUUCGAUUCUCACUAUCUAUA
rnacentral:tRNA from 1 species